UGGGAUAUUCUCUUCAGGGUGACGAG
rnacentral:piRNA from 1 species